UCAGUUCUAAACUGUUCUUCCUAGAGGUCCAGUAAGGAUCAUCUCUUAUUGAUCCAGUGUUACUACAGGAGGAAACCUAAACUAAACUAACUUUAUUACUCCGCCUGCGCAUGCGCAGUGCGGAGUCUAAAAAUGCCUGAGUCUGUUGUCGGUUGUCGACUGUCGACUGUCGUCAGUGUCACAAACAGGCUCCUUGAUAAAUGUGUACAUUCCAUGAUAUUUAGAUACUUUCUAUUGACAUUUGUGGAUAAUGUUAUACGAUUUGGCAGCGCAAUGCCACAGAAUAAGGUACACAGAAGGUCGACUCAAGUAACGCUGCCACGCCAUGAUUCAUCAUCAAAAUGCUGACGCCAUGGUCCUAGCCAGUGCGGGUUUGAGAGGCAUUCCCCCCCUGGACAUCCGCCAUUUUGAAUGAUAUCAGGGGGGUGAAUGCCUCUCAGACGCGCACUGGCUAGGACCAGAGCUAGGACCAUGGCGUCAGCAUUUGAUGACGAAUCACGAGUUACGCCAAAAUCAUAGGAAAAUCAUAGGAAAAACGAAGAAGUCGGCCUUCUGUGUACCUUAUUCUGUGGCAAUGCGCAUGCUUACAGCUCUGCUUACAGUAUUUUUCCAAACUGCGAACUGUGAAACGGUCUUGUGCGAUGAAAAAUACUAAAAAGAUGAAUGUCAAGACAAAGCUUCCAGACUCAACUGAGGUAAGGGAUACUAAACAUUCUUAUUUUGGUAGUACAUGCUGCAUUUUGGCAACAAGAAAUUCUUUAAAGUCAUAAAUAUAAAUAAAAAUAUUCACUCCUACUGUACAGUAUGUGGCCCAGUUUCGGGUCAGUACCAGUAGCGGGUCAAUAGAAAUUUGAUUUCAUUUUUUUCCGCCGAGAUAAAAAGCGACGCGAAAUGAAAUAUAUAGAUAUAAUGGUGAACCUUUCCUUUUUUGGAUGAUAG
rnacentral:lncRNA from 1 species